CGGGCCCUGGCCCGCCGCGGCGGGCCCUCCCCCGGCCCCGGCGCCCCCUGACAGGGGUGUCGGGCCGGUGCGACACCACCGGGCCCCG
rnacentral:tRNA from 1 species